rnacentral:rRNA from 1 species
AUUGAACGCUGGCGGCAUGCCUUACACAUGCAAGUCGAACGGUAACGGGCCUUCGGGUGCCGACGAGUGGCGAACGGGUGAGUAAUGUAACGGAACGUACCUUUCAGUGGGGGAUAACGUAGCGAAAGUUACGCUAAUACCGCAUAUUCUGUGCGCAGGAAAGCAGGGGAUCGCAAGAACUUGCGCUGAUUGAGCGGCCGAUAUCAGACUAGCUAGUUGGUGAGGUAAAGGCUCACCAAGGCGACGAUCUGUAGCGGGUCUGAGAGGAUGAUCCGCCACACUGGAACGGAGACACGGUCCAGACUCCUACGGGAGGCAGCAGUGGGGGAUUUUGGACAAUGGGGGCAACCCUGAUCCAGCCAUGCCGCGUGAGUGAAGAAGGCCUUCGGGUUGUAAAGCUCUUUCGGCCGGGAAGAAAUCGUAUCAGCUAAUACCUGGUGCGGAUGACGGUACCGGCAUAAGAAGCACCGGCUAACUACGUGCCAGCCGCCGCUGUAAUAC